GUUGCUCCCUGGUCAGACCAUACUUUAGUUUUAGAAAGAAAAGCUUGAUGCCAGUGUUGUGGCUUAGCCGAUGAAGCCACGAGCUGUGGUGCUGGUUUAAGUCCUGGCUGCUCACGAACAGUCGGGGCAAGCAGCAGAGGGUGGCCCACGUGACAUCUCUGGAACAAGCCCCCGACUGCGCCAGCUUGGCCCAGCCCUGCUGCUACAACCAUCUGGGGCAGUAACACGACAGCAGCUUGAUGGACUGAAGCAGAAGGAACGACAACCGAGACUCGAAUAUUCCGAGGAGCUUCGUCAC